GGCUUGUCCAAAGGUAGUGAGAUAUCUCAACUGAUUGUUCACAGUCAGUUACAGUUUGAACUCCUUGUUCUACUCUUCCCCUCCUUCUCACUACUGCACUUGACUAGUCUGAG
rnacentral:Y_RNA from 1 species